GAUGAACGCUGGCGGCGUGCCUAAUACAUGCAAGUCGAGCGAACAGACGAGGAGCUUGCUCCUCUGACGUUAGCGGCGGACGGGUGAGUAACACGUGGAUAACCUACCUAUAAGACUGGGAUAACUUCGGGAAACCGGAGCUAAUACCGGAUAAUAUAUUGAACCGCAUGGUUCAAUAGUGAAAGACGGUUUUGCUGUCACUUAUAGAUGGAUCCGCGCUGCAUUAGCUAGUUGGUAAGGUAACGGCUUACCAAGGCAACGAUGCGUAGCCGACCUGAGAGGGUGAUCGGCCACACUGGAACUGAGACACGGUCCAGACUCCUACGGGAGGCAGCAGUAGGGAAUCUUCCGCAAUGGGCGAAAGCCUGACGGAGCAACGCCGCGUGAGUGAUGAAGGUCUUCGGAUCGUAAAACACUGUUAUUAGGGAAGAACAAAUGUGUAAGUAACUAUGCACGUCUUGACGGUACCUAAUCAGAAAGCCACGGCUAACUACGUG
rnacentral:rRNA from 1 species